rnacentral:tRNA from 1 species
UGCGGGGGUUGCCAAGUGGACAAAGGCGCAGCGUUGAGGUCGCUGUCCCGUAGGGGUUCGGGGGUUCGAAUCCCCUCCUCCGCAU